AUAAGUCACUAGGGGUGCUGAAAAGCUGAGAUAUACCCUUCGAACUUGAACAAGGUAAUGCUUGCGAUAAGGAAAGUGCUAAUUAUAGAUC
rfam:Lactobacillus acidophilus NCFM, complete genome.